rnacentral:rRNA from 1 species
CCUACGGGAGGCAGCAGUGGGGAAUAUUGCACAAUGGGGGAAACCCUGAUGCAGCGACGCCGCGUGAGUGAAGAAGUAUCUCGGUAUGUAAAGCUCUAUCAGCAGGGAAGAAAAAAGACGGUACUUGACUAAGAAGCCCCGGCUAACUACGUGCCAACAGCCGCGGUAAUACGUAGGGGGCAAGCGUUACCCGGAUUUACUGGGUGUAAAGGGAGCGUAGACGGCGCGGCAAGUCGGAAGUGAAAGGCAGGGGCUUAACCCCUGAACUGCUUUGGAAACUGGCAUGGUAGAGUGCUGGAGGGGGAAGGGGAAUUCCUGGGGUAGCGGUGAAAUGCGGAGAUAUUAGGAGGGACCCCAGUGGCGAAGGCGGCUUACUGGACUGUAACUGACGUUGAGGCUCGAAAGCGUGGGGAGCAAACAGGAUUAGAUACCCCUGUAGUC